CCCCCGAUAGCUCGGUCAGUAGAGCAUGAGACUCUUAAUCUUAGGGUUGUGGGUUCAAGCCCCACGUUGGGCA
rnacentral:tRNA from 1 species